GUGCUCACUUUAGCAGCACAUAUACUAAAAUUGGAAUGAUACAGAGAAGAUUAGCAUGGCCCCUGCGCAAGAAUGACAUGAAAAUUUGUGAAGCGUUCCCUAUUUUU
rnacentral:snRNA from 1 species